UAUUAAUAUAAAAUUAGUAGUAUCCUCAUUAAAACUACUAUUUCUCUCCUGCACCGCAUUUUAAAAAAUUUUUCAUUCAAAAAAAUAUUUUUAGCUACUCAUUUCACAUUUAUGGAAAACUAAAGCCUGCUUUUAACUGCAAAAUAAAAUGAAUCACUUCUUGCCGGUUUGAAACAAAUUAAAAUUAUGAUCACAUACCCACAUACCAAAAAGGAGAUAUUUUGCAAGAACAAAAACAAAAAAGAAAAAUCAACAGUCAACUCUACAUGCAUAAUGAGGUGCACCUGAUAUCUCAUGAGAAAAUGGAGGAUUGAGCUCCAACUCCCCCCAAGUUUCCUUGAUGUUAUCAGGCCCGCUCUCGAGCGUAACUGUCGCAGGCAAGGUACGCGUAACCUUGUUUCCAGAACUGCAUCACCGUUCCCCAUCUUCUCCAGUUCAAAUUGACCCAUCAAAUCCCCUUGGCAACCAAACGACACAAAGAAAUGUUUUAAAAAUAAUAAUAAGUUUAUAAAUAUAAGAAACACAGAACAAGCCAUUGAGAGAUAACGAGAAGAUGAAGAAAAUGUAAAAACCUUUGACCUGAAGUUUUGAGGGGAACCAAGCGGAGAAGAGCGAAGGAUGUUGAGAAAAGCGAUUGGCAUCGUCGGGUGUAGAAAAUGAAAAACUUAACAGUGGAAGUUUAGAUUGUCAAGAUCAUUGAAGAAAAAUGGCCAGGGGGCGGGGAGUUAUUCUUUUUGGUGUUUCAAAUUAUCAGAUUUCAUGUUGGGGCUUGGUGGGAAACGGUAAGAGGAGAAAGUGAAAUGAUGGAGGAGAUAGAUUUUCUUCACAUCUCUAGGGUGAGGCGGAAGGCAGAAAGAUGAAAUGAUGGAGGAGAUAGAUUUUCUUCACAUCUUUAGGGUGAGGCGGAAGGCAGAAAGAUGGCGUGUUCGAGAUGAAGAGCAGCGUGAGGAAAAGAAGAUGUUGUGUUCAGGUUUGCAAUGAUUUCAGCUAUAA
rnacentral:lncRNA from 1 species